rnacentral:rRNA from 1 species
UGAGGAAUAUUGGUCAAUGGACGAGAGUCUGAACCAGCCAAGUCGCGUGAAGGAAGACGGAUCUAUGGUUUGUAAACUUCUUUAGUGUGGGAACAAAGCGUGGUUGCGACCGCAGAUGAGUGUACCACAAGAAUAAGCAUCGGCUAACUCCGUGCCAGCAGCCGCGGUAAUACGGAGGAUGCGAGCGUUAUCCGGAUUUAUUGGGUUUAAAGGGUGCGUAGGCGGAUUAUUAAGUCAGCGGUGAAAGCGUGUGGCUCAACCAUACAGUUGCCGUUGAUACUGGUAGUCUUGAGUGUAAACGAGGUAGGCGGAAUGUGAUGUGUAGCGGUGAAAUGCUUAGAUA